rnacentral:rRNA from 1 species
GACGAACGCUGGCGGCGUGCUUAACACAUGCAAGUCGAACGGAAAGGCCCUGCUUUUGUGGGGUGCUCGAGUGGCGAACGGGUGAGUAACACGUGAGUAACCUGCCCUUGACUUUGGGAUAACUUCAGGAAACUGGGGCUAAUACCGGAUAGGAGCUCCUGCUGCAUGGUGGGGGUUGGAAAGUUUCGGCGGUUGGGGAUGGACUCGCGGCUUAUCAGCUUGUUGGUGGGGUAGUGGCUUACCAAGGCUUUGACGGGUAGCCGGCCUGAGAGGGUGACCGGCCACAUUGUGACUGAGAUACGGCCCAGACUCCUACGGGAGGCAGCAGGGGGGAAUAUUGCACAAUGGGCGGAAGCCUGAUGCAGCAACGCCGCGUGCGGGAUGACGGCCUUCGGGUUGUAAACCGCUUUCGCCUGUGACGAAGCGUGAGUGACGGUAAUGGGUAAAGAAGCACCGGCUAACUACGUG